AGUGAACGCUGGCGGUAGGCCUAACACAUGCAAGUCGAACGGCAGCACAGUAAGAGCUUGCUCUUACGGGUGGCGAGUGGCGGACGGGUGAGGAAUACAUCGGAAUCUACUUUUUCGUGGGGGAUAACGUAGGGAAACUUACGCUAAUACCGCAUACGACCUACGGGUGAAAGCAGGGGAUCUUCGUACCUUGCGCGAUUGAAUGAGCCGAUGUCGGAUUAGCUAGUUGGCGGGGUAAAGGCCCACCAAGGCGACGAUCCGUAGCUGGUCUGAGAGGAUGAUCAGCCACACUGGAACUGAGACACGGUCCAGACUCCUACGGGAGGCAGCAGUGGGGAAUAUUGGACAAAGGGCGCAAGCCUGAUCCAGCCAUACCGCGUGGGUGAAGAAGGACUUCGGGUUGUAAAGCCCUUUUGUUGGGAAAGAAAAGCAGCAGGUUAAUACCCCGCUGUUCUGACGGUACCCAAAGAAUAAGCACCGGCUAACUUCGUG
rnacentral:rRNA from 1 species